rnacentral:rRNA from 1 species
UACAGAGGUCUCAAGCGUUGUUCGGAUUCAUUGGGCGUAAAGGGUGCGUAGGUGGCGCCGUAAGUCGGAUGUGAAAUUUCGGAGCUUAACUCCGAAACUGCAUUCGAUACUGCGGUGCUUGAGGACUGGAGAGGAGACUGGAAUUCAUGGUGUAGCAGUGAAAUGCGUAGAGAUCAUGAGGAAGACCAGUGGCGAAGGCGGGUCUCUGGACAGUUCCUGACACUGAGGCACGGAAGGCCAGGGGAGCAAACGGG